UGGGGAAUAUUGCACAAUGGGCGCAAGCCUGAUGCAGCCAUGCCGCGUGUAUGAAGAAGGCCUUCGGGUUGUAAAGUACUUUCAGCGGGGAGGAAGGGAGUAAAGUUAAUACCUUUGCCCAUUGACGUUACCCGCAGAAGAAGCACCGGCUAACUCCGUGCCAGCAGCCGCGGUAAUACGGAGGGUGCAAGCGUUAAUCGGAAUUACUGGGCGUAAAGCGCACGCAGGCGGUUUGUUAAGUCAGAUGUGAAAUCCCCGGGCUCAACCUGGGAACUGCAGCUGAUACUGGCAAGCUUGAGUCUCGUAGAGGGGGGUAGAAUUCCAGGUGGAGCGGUGAAAUGCGUAGAGAUCUGGAGGAAUACCGGUGGCGAAGGCGGCCCCCUGGACGAAGACUGACGCUCAGGUGCGAAAGCGUGGGGAGCAAACAGG
rnacentral:rRNA from 1 species